UUCGGUGUGAUGUAGUGGUUUGAGUGUUGGAUUAUGACUCUAAAGACCAGGGUUCAAUUCCCAGCUCAGCCA